rnacentral:rRNA from 1 species
UACGAAGGGGGCUAGCGUUGUUCGGAUUUACUGGGCGUAAAGCGCACGUAGGCGGAUCUUUAAGUCAGAGGUGAAAUCCCAAGGCUCAACCUUGGAACUGCCUUUGAUACUGGGGAUCUUGAAUCCGGGAGAGGGAUGCGGAAUUCCAGGUGUAGCGGUGAAAUGCGUAGAUAUCUGGAGGAACACCGGUGGCGAAGGCGGCAUCCUGGACCGGUAUUGACGCUGAGGCGCGAAAGCCAGGGGAGCAAACGGG